AAAAAAUGUCUUGCAUCUGUUAAUGGUAUCAUCAUUCUGUAAAAAGUUAAUCAAAAUCGGAGUUUUUUAAUUGGGUAAUUUUCGUAGACAGCGGAGCCUCUCAAAACGCGGGGCCGGGUUCCAGCAAACGCGCUAUACCUGCCUUGCACCAGCCCUGUUUACAAAGUAGGCUUUGACUACUUUAAGUGCCAUUCAAAUAAUACAGGAUCAAGAAAACAUGGUUUUUCCUAUUUUUUGCAAGUUAUAUACAUGAACUUGAAUUAAGGAAAUAUGUUAUUGGCCAAAUGCUGGCAUUUUCAAAGAAAAAAAGAGGAACC
rnacentral:lncRNA from 1 species